GGAACGGCAGCUUUAAGGAAACAGAGCAUGAUACAAAAGAUGGCGUUCCCACUGAAGGAGAGCAAUGAAGCGUAACGAGGGAAAACACUGGAAGGGAAGACAGCACAAACAAAGAAGAAUGCUGCACACUUUCUCAGUCUGCACACCUUACAUUCAAGGCCGAUGGAACCAGGUUCUGAUAGCGUUAAAGAUCCAUCCCUAGCGAUGCGGUAUACCAGAUGAUAAAGAGUAAGUCAUGUGUGGAUGGAAAUCCAAGGCUAAAUCAGGCCUGAUUUGUGGCUACCUGGAUGGAGCCUGAGUGUAAUAAAUUCAUCAUGGCCUCCAUUAACAAGGCUAAAUUCUAUAACCACAUCGGAGUAACCAGAACAGUUUUUGGAUUGAAGUCGUUCGUCACAGUCUGGGACAUACCCAUACCCUUGUUAAAGAUUUCCGUCCGCUGAGUGAAUCUGUUCAUGGGAGGAAGUUUUGCCGCAGUGUCUGUGAGGUUUUAAUAAAGUAAUCACUGCUUAGGAUGCCCUCAGAUUCGACUCCUAGAGUUGUUCUUCUUCUGUAAAGAUUUUGUGAAGGUUUUUUGUAUUUAAGCCACGAAAACAUGAUUUGAAACAGAGGGCCGAAAAAAAUGUUUCUGAGGCA